CUUCAAAGGUAUCGAGGAC
rnacentral:piRNA from 1 species